rnacentral:rRNA from 1 species
CCUACGGGUGGCAGCAGUGGGGAAUAUUGGGCAAUGGGCGCAAGCCUGACCCAGCAACGCCGCGUGAAGGAAGAAGGCUCUCGGGUUGUAAACUUCUUUUAAGGGGGAAGAGCAGAAGACGGUACCCCUUGAAUAAGCCAUGGCUAACUACGUGCCAGCAGCCGCGGUAAUACGGAGGUGGCAAGCGUUGUCCGGAUUUACUGGGUGUAAAGGGCGUGCAGCCGGAGAGACAAGUCAGAUGUGAAAUCCACGGGCUCAACCCGUGAACCGCAUUUGAAACUGUUUCCCUUGAGUGUCGGAGAGGUAAUCGGAAUUCGUGGUGUAGCGGUGAAAUGCGUAGAUAUAAGGAAGAACACCAGUGGCGAAGGCGGAUUACUGGACGAUAACUGACGGUGAGGCGCGAAGGCGUGGGGAGCAAACAGGAUUAGAUACCCGGGUAGUC